GAUGAACGCUGGCGGCGUGCUUAACACAUGCAAGUCGAACGGGAAUUACUUUAUUGAAACUUCGGUCGAUUUAAUUUAAUUCUAGUGGCGGACGGGUGAGUAACGCGUGGGUAACCUGCCUUAUACAGGGGGAUAACAGUCAGAAAUGGCUGCUAAUACCGCAUAAGCGCACAGAGCUGCAUGGCUCGGUGUGAAAAACUCCGGUGGUAUAAGAUGGACCCGCGUUGGAUUAGCUUGUUGGUGGGGUAACGGCCCACCAAGGCGACGAUCCAUAGCCGGCCUGAGAGGGUGAACGGCCACAUUGGGACUGAGACACGGCCCAGACUCCUACGGGAGGCAGCAGUGGGGAAUAUUGCACAAUGGGGGAAACCCUGAUGCAGCGACGCCGCGUGAAGGAAGAAGUAUCUCGGUAUGUAAACUUCUAUCAGCAGGGAAGAUAGUGACGGUACCUGACUAAGAAGCCCCGGCUAACUACGUG
rnacentral:rRNA from 1 species